AAAAAAAAAAAUAAAACUAGAAACUAAGACCAAAUAUUAGAACAAAAGAUGCUCCCAUUAUCCCAUUACUCAGGAAGUUACAAAGGCUUCAGGUGUUCUGCCAGGAACAGAGACCAAAUAUUCAUUCCUUUUUAUGUCAACGACGCCCAUAGGAAAUUACGGCUUGUCCGGAAAGCACUUGGUCCUGAUGCGUUCUGGCAGCUACGGAAGACAGGAAGAGAGCGAGCAGCUGGGGAAGGAGAGGAGGGACCUCGAACUGUGCGUCUUGAUUACGGCACCGCAGGAAUGCCCUGUCUCUGCUGGGAUGCUGAGCUCUGCGGGAGAAAAUGACACAACCCACAGAUUUGCACCAGAGGGAGAAGAAACCUAGGAUGACGAGGGGUCACAGAGGCCGAAUCUCUGUGAAGAGUAUUUCAAGAAGCUGACGCUUUUCCUGACUAUGGAGAGAUCGGUUCAAGUGACAGCAGGAUUCCUGGCGGUGGCAACACGGAGUCACUGCUGAUGAAAAGGGGCCUUCAGUGGCCUGGGGAGGACAGUGCCACGUGGAGCAAAAGCUAAGGGACACACAGGAGAGGUCCUGGAGAAGGUGAGCACGUACACAGCCCACCAAGAUGCCUAGCAGCAAAGGUGUACAUGUACACAGCCCCCCAAGAUACCUAGCAGCAAAGGUGAGCAUGUACACAGCCCCCCAAGAUGCCUAGCAGCAAAGGUGAGUAUGUACACAGCCCCCCAAGAUGCCUAGCAGCAAAGGUGAGCAUGUACACAGCCCCCCAAGAUGCCUAGCAGCAAAGGUGAGCAUGUACACAGCCCCCCAAGAUGCCUAGCAGCAAAGGAGCAGGGAAAGAAAGUGGGAUCUAGAGGGGAAAGUGGGAGAAGAGAUUUUCCUUUU
rnacentral:lncRNA from 1 species